UACGUAGGUGGCGAGCGUUGUCCGGAUUUAUUGGGCGUAAAGGGAACGCAGGCGGUUUUUUAAGUCUGAUGUGAAAGCCUUCGGCUUAACCGAAGUAGUGCAUUGGAAACUGGAAGACUUGAGUGCAGAAGAGGAGAGUGGAACUCCAUGUGUAGCGGUGAAAUGCGUAGAUAUAUGGAAGAACACCAGUGGCGAAAGCGGCUCUCUGGUCUGUAACUGACGCUGAGGUUCGAAAGCGUGGGUAGCAAACAGG
rnacentral:rRNA from 1 species